rnacentral:piRNA from 1 species
UAAGACCCUGCAAUUGCAAACGGUGGCCU